rnacentral:rRNA from 1 species
AUUCCAGCUCCAAUAGCGUAUAUUAAAGUUGUUGCGGUUAAAAAGCUCGUAGUUGGAUUUCUGCUGAGGACGACUGGUCCGCCCCCUGGGUGAGCAUCUGGUUCGGCCUGGGCAUCUUCUUGGGGAACGUAUCUGCACUUGAUUGUGUGGUGCGGUAUCCAGGACUUUUACUUUGAGGAAAUUAGAGUGUUUCAAGCAGGCCCGCGCCUUGAAUACAUUAGCAUGGAAUAAUAAGAUAGGACCUCGGUUCUAUUUUGUUGGUUUCUAGAGCUGAGUAAUGAUUAACAGGGACAGUCAGGGGCACUCGUAUUCCGCCGAGAGAGGUGAAAUUUUCAGACCAGCGGAAGACGAACCACUGCGAAAGCAUUUGCCAGGGAUGUUUUCAUCG